UACGUAGGGACCAAGCGUUGUUCGGAUUUACUGGGCGUAAAGGGCGCGUAGGCGGCGUGUUAAGUCAGCUGUGAAAUCUCCAAGCUUAACUUGGAACGGUCAGCUGAUACUGAUGUGCUAGAGUGCAGAAGGGGCAAUCGGAAUUCUUGGUGUAGCGGUGAAAUGCGUAGAUAUCAAGAGGAACACCUGAGGUGAAGACGGGUUGCUGGGCUGACACUGACACUGAGAGACGAAAGCUAGGGGAGCGAAUGGG
rnacentral:rRNA from 1 species